AUCGAACGCUGGCGGCAGGCCUAACACAUGCAAGUCGAGCGAGCGGCGGACGGGUGAGUAAUGUCUGGGAAACUGCCCGAUGGAGGGGGAUAACUACUGGAAACGGUAGCUAAUACCGCAUACCAUCGGAUGUGCCCAGAUGGGAUUAGCUAGUAGGGGGGGUAACGGCUCACCUAGGCGACGAUCCCUAGCUGGUCUGAGAGGAUGACCAGCCACACGGGAACUGAGACACGGUCCAGACUCCUACGGGAGGCAGCAGGGGGGAAUAUUGCACAAUGGGCGCAAGCCUGAUGCAGCCAUGCCGCGUGUAUGAAGAAGGCCUUCGGGUUGUAAAGUACUUUCAGCGAGGAGGCGUUACUCGCAGAAGAAGCACCGGCUAACUCCGUGCCAGCAGCCGCGGUAAUUC
rnacentral:rRNA from 1 species